rnacentral:rRNA from 1 species
GAUGAACGCUGGCGGCGUGCCUAAUACAUGCAAGUCGAGCGAACAGACGAGGAGCUUGCUCCUCUGACGUUAGCGGCGGACGGGUGAGUAACACGUGGAUAACCUACCUAUAAGACUGGGAUAACUUCGGGAAACCGGAGCUAAUACCGGAUAAUAUAUUGAACCGCAUGGUUCAAUAGUGAAAGACGGUUUUGCUGUCACUUAUAGAUGGAUCCGCGCCGCAUUAGCUAGUUGGUAAGGUAACGGCUUACCAAGGCAACGAUGCGUAGCCGACCUGAGAGGGUGGUCGGCCACACUGGAACUGAGACACGUCCCAGACUCCUACGGUAGGCAGCAGUAGGGAAUCUUCCGCAAUGGGCGAAAGCCUGACGGAGCAACGCCGCGUGAGUGAUGAAGGUCUUCUGAUCGGAAAACUCUGUUAUUAGGGAAGAACAAAUGUGUAAGUAACUAUGCACGUCUUGACGGUACCUAAUCAGAAAGCCACGGCUAACUACGUG